rnacentral:rRNA from 1 species
CUCCGAGAAAUCGGUGCUAAUUCCCAAUGACACUAUGAAGUGGCAUCACUUUAUAGUUAAAGCUCCGGCGGUACGAGAUGAGCAUGCGCCCAAUUAGCUAGUUGGUGAGGUAAUGGCUCACCAAGGCUACGAUUGGUAGGGGUUCUGAGAGGAUGAUCCCCCACACUGGUACUGAGACACGGACCAGACUCCUACGGGAGGCAGCAGUGAGGAAUAUUGCGCAAUGGACGAAAGUCUGACGCAGCCAUGCCGCGUGAAGGAUGAAGGCCCUACGGGUUGUAAACUUCUUUUGUACGGGAAAAAACCCUUCUACGUGUAGAGGGCUGAUGGUACCGUAAGAAUAAGCACCGGCUAACUCCGUGCCAGCAGCCGCGGUAAUACGGAGGGUGCAAGCGUUAUCCGGAUUUAUUGGGUUUAAAGGGUCCGUAGGCGGGCCGAUAAGUCAGUGGUGAAAGCCCAUAGCUCAACUAUGGAACUGCCAUUGAUACUGUCGGUCUUGAGUACAAGUGAGGUUGGCGGAAUGUGUGGUGUAGCGGUGAAAUGCUUAGAUAUCACACAGAACACCGA